GAUUUUAUAAAGAAUGGAGGACCAAAAGCAAAGCUGCCCUCCAUCCCGGAAGAGUCCGAAGGACCUUCUACAAAAUGAGGGACUCACGUGGCCUCAGACUCGCUCUCUAGCCAAGGGUAACCUCUAACUUGCUGAGCCUCUAGGAAGACCACAGCAGAUACCCAAGCUCUCUGCAAAAGCUCCUCAAAUUCCAAUCUCUUCUGGACCCUUCAAGUGCUGGGAUUGCAGCAAGAAAAACAAAACCAGAGGAAGGGGUGAGAGAAAAAAAAGCAAAUGGGGAACUGAAAAAUUAUUGAAGGGCUGGUGAGGUGACUCAGUGGAAAAAGGAGCUUGCUGUCAAGUCUGAAGACCAGAGUUCAAUUCCCAGGACCCACCUGGUGGAAGUUGUCUUCAAACUGCCCCAUGAAUAUUCAAACACAAGCAUGUAUAUUCAUACAAAAUAAAUAAAUAUAAUUUAAAAAAAUAAACGGCUGAAAAGU